rnacentral:rRNA from 1 species
AGGGUUUGAUCCUGGCUCAUAUUGAACGCUGGCGGCAGGCCUAACACAUGCAAGUCGAGCGGUAGAGAGAAGCUUGCUUCUCUUGAGAGCGGCGGACGGGUGAGUAAUGCCUAGGAAUCUGCCUGGUAGUGGGGGAUAACGUUCGGAAACGGACGCUAAUACCGCAUACGUCCUACGGGAGAAAGCAGGGGACCUUCGGGCCUUGCGCUAUCAGAUGAGCCUAGGUCGGAUUAGCUAGUUGGUGAGGUAAUGGCUCACCAAGGCGACGAUCCGUAACUGGUCUGAGAGGAUGAUCAGUCACACUGGAACUGAGACACGGUCCAGACUCCUACGGGAGGCAGCAGUGGGGAAUAUUGGACAAUGGGCGAAAGCCUGAUCCAGCCAUGCCGCGUGUGUGAAGAAGGUCUUCGGAUUGUAAAGCACUUUAAGUUGGGAGGAAGGGUUGUAGAUUAAUACUCUGCAAUUUUGACGUUACCGACAGAAUAAGCACCGGCUAACUCUGUGCCAGCAGCCGCGGUAAUACAGAGGGUGCAAGCGUUAAUCGGAAUUACUGGGCGUAAAGCGCGCGUAGGUGGUUUGUUAAGUUGGAUGUGAAAUCCCCGGGCUCAACCUGGGAACUGCAUUCAAAACUGACUGACUAGAGUAUGGUAGAGGGUGGUGGAAUUUCCUGUGUAGCGGUGAAAUGCGUAGAUAUAGGAAGGAACACCAGUGGCGAAGGCGACCACCUGGACUAAUACUGACACUGAGGUGCGAAAGCGUGGGGAGCAAACAGGAUUAGAUACCCUGAUAGUCCACGCCGUAAACGAUGUCAACUAGCCGUUGGAAGCCUUGAGCUUUUAGUGGCGCAGCUAACGCAUUAAGUUGACCGCCUGGGGGAGUACGGCCGCAAGGUUAAAACUCAAAUGAAUUGACGGGGGCCCGCACAAGCC